GGGCCCGCACAAGCGGAGGAACAUGUGGUUUAAUUCGAUGAUACGCGAGGAACCUUACCCGGGCUUGAAAUGCAGAAGAAUAACCCAGAGACGGGUUAGCCAGCAAUGGCUUCUGUGUAGGUGCUGCAUGGUUGUCGUCAGCUCGUGCCGUGAGGUGUCGGCUUAAGUGCCAUAACGAGCGCAACCCUUAUCAUUAGUUGCUAACAGGUCAUGCUGAGGACUCUAGUGAGACUGCCACCGUAAGGUGUGAGGAAGGUGGGGAUGACGUCAAAUCAGCACGGCCCUUACGUCCGGGGCGACACACGUGUUACAAUGGGGGGUACAACGGGCAGCUACCUAGCGAUAGGAUGCUAAUCUCUAAAAACCUCUCUCAGUUCGGAUUGGAGUCUGCAACUCGACUCCAUGAAGCUGGAUUCGCUAGUAAUCGCGCAUCAGCCACGGCGCGGUGAAUACG
rnacentral:rRNA from 1 species